rnacentral:rRNA from 1 species
CAGUCGCCACGGUAACACCGAGGGUGCGAGCGUUAAUCGGAUUUACUGGGCGUAAAGCGUGCGUAGGCGGCUUCUUAAGUCGGAUGUGAAAUCCCUGAGCUUAACUUAGGAAUUGCAUUCGAUACUGGGAAGCUAGAGUAUGGGAGAGGAUGGUAGAAUUCCAGGUGUAGCGGUGAAAUGCGUAGAGAUCUGGAGGAAUACCGAUGGCGAAGGCAGCCAUCUGGCCUAAUACUGACGCUGAGGUACGAAAGCAUGGGGAGCAAACAGGAUUAGAUACCCCGGUAGUCCCUGUCUCUUAUAC